rnacentral:lncRNA from 1 species
AUUAUAUUUACAUAGAGAGUCCUUCUCAGCCCUUGGCCAUGGACAAAUCCUGAGAAUGCUCCUGGUGAAAGAGGCAGCUGUGUUUCUUCCAUGUGAACUUUCUCUCAUUGGUCAUGUGGGGUCAGGGUCUUGCCCACACAGCAUGUAGUGGAAGUUGAAGUAGUUAUCUAAAUCAGGGGUCAGCAAAGUUUUGCUGUAAAAGGCCAGAUAGUAGAUAUGUUUGCCCUUGCAGGUCACACAGUCACUGUCACAGCUAUUCAACUCUGCCGAUGUGUGAAAGCAGCCUUGUACAAUCCACAAAUGCAUGAGGAUAGCUGUGUUCCAAUAAAACUUUAUAUACAAAACAGGCAAUGGGCCAGAUUUGGUCUGUGAUCUGCACUUUGCUCACCUCUGAUCCAGAUUCAUCCAUUCAACAAAUAUACUGCAUGCCUUAUAUGUAACAGGCACCAUUCUGGAUGCUAGGAAUAUAGCUGUAAAUGAAAUAAAGCCCUCACCAUAAUGGAGUUCACAUUAUGUUAUAAAGGUAUUAAUAUUGGUUAUUGUCUAUUUCUCACACUGAAGACAGCAAGUGGAGACAGUUUUUCAAAAAGGGAGUAAUCAUUUGGGUGAAAUGCUGCUGAAGUUUGGGUAAACCAAGGACUCAGAACUGGCCAUUGCAUUUGGCAACAAAAGAGUCACUGGUGACCUUGAUGAGUGCACUUUCAGAACAGUGAGGACAGGCCAGGUGUGUGGCUGUAAAGGGAAGCACAGCAGUGAGAAGGGAGCAGGGAGGGGCUCAGCCUCAAGGGAGAAGGUUGUUGUGUUGUUAAGAUGGAGAGGUUAGAGCUCAUUUGCAUAGAGAAUGAUCCAGAAGAAAGGUACAGUUGUAUGUCAUGAUACAGGAGAGAGAGAAGUGGUUUUCCAGAGUGGCAAGAGGACACGGUCCCAGUGCCCUGGUGAAGUGCUCUCCUCUGCAAGGAGCAGGUCCAGUUCAUCCCUGGGAACAGGAAGGAAGGCAGGGCCAAGGGGCAGAGAUUCAGUUCUGAGAGAAUAAAUCAGUUCUCCUCCAAUUGCUUCUAUUUUCUCACUACAAUCAAUGAGAAGCAAUAUCAUCAGAUGGGAAUGAGAAAGGGAAGGAGUUCUAAGGAGAGAUGAGAACAUUUGAAACAGCCAUCUCAGAGCUAUUUGUUUCCCUGCUUAGUUUGUGCCUUCGUGCUCACAGUCACCGCAUGACUACAAAAUGGCGACUCUGCCUCCAGCAUUGCAUCAGCAUUCCAGGGAGAAGAAAUGGGACAACAGAUGAUGAAAGCAACCCCCUUGACAAAAUUGCUGAAGCAAUAUGGGACUUUUUAAGAUUACAAGAGCCACGUGGUUAAUAUUACUGGAAUGUUUUCAUGAGUGUGAAAUGCAGUUGUCACAGAGAAGCUUCUACUCAUCAUCUUAAGGCAAACACCAAAGUUCUUCAGAACAACUGAUUCCCCCUACAAGGAGAAAUAUCCAAGGCCUUCAUCCACCAGAACAGUCAAAUCAUUGAAAUUUAUCAGGCCUCGUGCAGUGGCUCACGCCUGUAAUCCCAGCACUUUGGGACACCGAGGUGGGUGGAUCACUUGAGGUCAGGAGUUCAAGACCAGCCUGGCCAACAGGGUGAAACCCCGUCUCUAUUAAAAAUACAAAAAUUAGCUGGAUGUGGUGGCGCAUGCCUGUAGUCCCAGCUACGUGGGAGGCUGAGGCAGGAGAAUCACUUGAACCUGGGAGUCGGAGGUUGCACUGAGCUGAGAUCACGCCACUGCACUCCAUCCUGGGUGACAAGAGUGAAACUGUCUCAAAAAGAAAAAAAGAAGGCCAGGCACGUGGCUCAUCCCUGUAAUCCCAGCACUUUGGGAGGCCAAGGUGGGCGGAUCAUCUGAGGUCAGGAGUUCGAGACCAGCCUGGCCAACAUGGUGAAACCCCAUCUCUACUAAAAAUACAAAAAUUAGCUGGGUGUGGUAGCACAUGCCUGUAAUCCCAGCUACUCGGGAGGCUGAGGUAGAAGAAUCACUUGAACCCAGGAGGCAGAGGCUCCAGUGAGCCGAGAUUACGCCAGUGCACUCCAGCCUAGGAGACAGAGCGAGACUCCAUCUCAUCAAAAAAAAAAAAAAAAAAUUUCUUCCAGUGUCCCAGGACAUUCCCCCAAGUAUCUGGAAUUUCACAAAGAGGGCCAGAUACAAUUCUAUCCAGAAUUCAUUGCUAUACUUGGAAGCUAGAAAGACCCCUCUUUACUAUGGAGAACAGAUGAUAGAACUUAUGCUUCUAAUAAAACAAGAUGCUCUUCAAUCAGCAUGCUCAUGUGUCCAGGGAGCUGACCCCAGUGUGUUGGUAGUAAGGCUUAAUAGCAAGAAGAGAUCAUGGGAAAGUCAAGGACAACCAGAUCUGACAGUAUACCUGGGAAAGGGCUCUAGUUGCUGUCCGUCAGGAUAUUAAUUCAAAUGCCCAAACAGUGAUUGUUCAUCAAAGGGCAUUCUGACCUUCCCUAAUUCCAUUUUUUCAAAAGACAUUUUUAGAGUAAUUUUGGGUUCGCAGAAAAAUUGAUCAGCAAGUACAGAGAGAGCCUGUGUAUCCCCACAUGCCCUCACCAUUUUCCCCUAUUAUUAAUACUUUGCACUUAUGUGGUACAUCUGUUUCCAUUGAUGACACAAUAUCGAUACAUUAUUAUUAACUAAAGUCCAUAGCCUACAUUAGGGUUCCCUCUUUGUGUUGUACAUGCGGUGGGGUUUGAGAAUGUCUAAUAACAUGUAUCCACCAUCACAGUAUCCUGCAGAAUAGUUUCACUACCUCUAAAAAUCCUCUGUGUUCCUCCUUUUUAUAGUUUGGAUUUGUGUCUCCACCCAAAUCUCACGUUGAAAUGUAAUCCCCAGUGUUAGAGAUGGGGACUGGUGGGGGGUGAUUGGAUCAUGGGGUUGGAUUUCUCAUGAAUGGUUUAGCAGUGUUCUCUUGGUACUGUCCUUGAAGUAAUGAAUGAGUUCUCACAAGAACUGGUUAUUUAAAAGUGUGUGGUGGGCUGGGCGCGGUGGCUCACACCUGUAAUCCCAGGACUAUGGGAGGCCGAGGCAGGCGGAUCACGAGGUCAGGAGAUCGAGACCAUCCUGGCUAACACGGUGAAACCCCAUCUCUACUAAAGAUACAAAAAAUUAGCCGGGCGUGGUGGCACAUGCCUGUAGUCCUAGCUACUCGGGAGGCUGAGGCAGGAGAAUUGGUUGAACCUGGGAGGCGGAGGUCGCAGUGAGCUGAGAUCGUGCCACUACACUCCAGCCUGGGUGACAGAGCAAGACUCCAUCUCAAGAAAAAAAAAGUGUGUAGCACCUCCCCCUUCUCUCUCUCUUGCUCCUGCUCCUGCCAUGUGAGACACCUGCUCCCCCUUCAUCUUCCCCCAUGACUGGAAGCUUCCUGAGGUCUCCCCAGAAGCAGAUGCUUGUGUUAUGCUUCCUGUACAGCCUGCUGAGCCAUGACCCAAUUAAACCUCUUUUCUUUAUAAAUUACCCAGUCUCAGGUAUUCCUUUAUAGCAGUGUGAGAAGAGACUAAUACACACUUAUUCAUCCCUCCCUCCUUCUGAACCACUGGUGACCACUGAUCUUUUUACUGUCUCCAUCAUUUUGCCUUUUCCAGAAUGUCUUAUAUUUGGAGUCAUAUAGUAUGUAGCCUUUUCAGAUGGGCU